rnacentral:rRNA from 1 species
CCUACGGGGAGCUGCAGUGGGGAAUAUUGCGCAAUGGGCGAAAGCCUGACGCAGCGACGCCGCGUGAGGGAUGAAGGUCUUCGGAUCGUAAACCUCUGUCAGCAGGGAAGAACGGUCACUGGGCUAAGCAGCAGUGAAUUGACGGUACCUGCAAAGGAAGCACGGGCUAACUCCGUGCCAGCAGCCGCGGUAAUACGGAGGGUGCGAGCGUUAAUCGGAAUUACUGGGCGUAAAGCGCUCGUAGGCGGUAUGUCAAGUCAAGGGUUAAAUCCCCGCGCUCAACGUGGGAACUGCCUUUGAAACUGGCAACCUGGAGUGUGUGAGAGGCUAGUGGACUUCCAGGUG